CUAUCCAUGUUCAGAUAUUGGACUUUGCCUAAUUAGCUCAUGUGUGUUUUUCAGUGUGCUGGUUGCAGAAUGAAUAUUUUAACCUGCUGACCCACUUAGAAGAGUUCUGGAUGCCUAGAUAAAGGUCAGAGGGGGCAUGACUCACCUGUGAGGAGUGUGUUGUCACCACCAGCUCUGGGCAGGACAGUCCCACCUGUGGUGUCCCAAU